CACAAAUAACGAAAGAAUAUUAAAGUUAGCGUUAAAAACUGUUAUUCAUUGAUGUUUGUUUGUAUUGGGUAGUUGGUUUUGCUGUAGAUAUCAGUAAGAAAAUACGAUAAUAUGGCAACGCUGCUCUCUCUCUCUCUCUCUCGAACCAUCACCUCGAGACAGCGAACACGUGGUUACUCUUAAGUGCGAGAAUAAAUCCUUUUUUACCUGUGAUUUCCCAGCACCACGACCACCUGUAGCUCCGGAGGUUUGCAUUCCUCAAUAGUUUUCUCCACCACCACCACCACCACUUCUUCCACCCGGGGCUACAGGAGGUCAGCGGCUGGAAGAGGCAGCCGGUAGCCCACAGGU